AUGACCGUAGGAGCCGUAAUCGCACUGGCCGGAAAGGACAUGCCAGUCUACGUAAGGGUAGGUGGAUUCGAGAAGACUUUUUGGUAUGUGAUUGAGGAGAAGUCGCCGAUGGAAUCAGCCCUAUCAUCCGGCGAUGAGGUGAUUGGAUGUGAAUCCGAAACAGAUAGAGUGAGACGACUCCCUCUUCCCGAUUCAGGUUCGUCUACUAACAACCUUGCAGUUGUAAAAUCCUGUGCCUAUCUGAUUGGUGGAGAUGGGUAUACACUCAAGCAUAUGCAAGAUGAAUCUGUUGGAUUUCGUCACAUAGACUUGAGGAAUUUGGAUAUGGGAGUAGACGAAUGGCUUUUAGGAGGUGGGAAACUUUUUGACGGUCAAUUUGGGGGAGGAGUAGCUCUUGGCCAUGAUGGUUAUGCUUAUUGUGUUGGACCUACAGUCUACCGAUUCCGUCCCGGAGUAGACAGAACAUUGGAGAAGUUGCCGGUACCGCCACAAGGUCCCAACCCCUGUCGCUAUGGAUUAUUACAUAGGCUACGUCUUCUUGGUCUUACUAAGGAAAAACUGUACGUCUACUUCAGGCAAGAUGACAAUGGUACCAAUGUCAUGCUCUCGUUUGAUUUGGAGUCAAGAAAGUGGGACGAGGAUGUGCUUGAUGACAACUUCUUGGGUACUUGGUCUCCUGGCGCGGUGCUCUUCCAGGAUCGCUACUUGUUUUCUUUUGGCACCAGGAGUCCAAAACGCAAACCAAAAACACCAGAAGAAGAAGAAGCCAUUACAAUAAGGAGGAGGAGGGUUCAGGAGAUUGAUGAGGGGUGGGGUUAUGUGGAGGAGGAUGAGCUGGUUCCUGGAAUAUAUGUUUUUGAUCUUCAUGAGGGUCGAUGGCUACCAGAACCAGUUGAGGGUCUACCGACUGACGGGAAGGUGAUGCCUCAUGCUUUUCGGCCAUUACCAGAAGCACCAUUGUAUUGCGGAGAUUGGAAUCCACGGUUGUUCCAGAUCAGAAAGGACGAGGACGACCACCGCUUGGCUUUGUUGUGGGAUGCUGUUGGCAAUAUUGACGACUGUAAACUUAUUUGGUGUAAGUUCAUGAUCAAUAGAUGUGAUACUAGUACUGAAGAUAACCCCCGCUUCUCUGCCAUUUCGCUGUCACCAGGAUUCUGUCCGCUUGAUGAGGACACCUUCCAGAUCUUCAAUUCUGCUGUAGGGAUAGUUGAUACACAUGUGCAUCACUCUGCUUGCAUGAACCAGAAGCGUCUUCUGAACUUUAUCAAGUCAAAGCUUAAAAAGAACCUGAUGAGGUAGUCAUAUUCAGAGAUGGAAAAUAUCUUACACUUCAGGAAGUUUUUAAGAGUUUGGACUUGACAGGGUAUGAUCUGAAUGUUGACUUAUUGGAUGUUCAUGCGGAUAAGACUACUUUUCAUCGAUAUGACAAGUUCAAACUAAAGCAUAAUCCGUGUGGCCAGAGCAGACUCAGAGAGAUAUUCUUGAAGCAAGACAAUCUAAUCCAAGGACGAUUUUUAGCAGAAGUAACAAAGGAAGUUUUGAAAGAUCUCGAAGCCAUGAAAUACCAGAUGGCAGAGUACAGGAUUUCAGUUUAUGGGAGAAAACAAAGUGAGUGGGAUCAACUGGCUAGUUGGUUUGUUAACAAUGACAUUUACAGCGAGAAUGUAGUAUGGUUAAUACAGCUACCACGGUUAUACAAUAUCUACAAGAAGAUGGGGAUUGUUAUCUCUUUCCAAAACAUUUUAGAUAAUGUUUUCAUUCCCCUUUUCGAAGUCACGGUGGAUCCAAAUUCACAUCCUCAAUUACAUUUGUUCCUGAAGCAGGUGGUGGGUUUUGACGUUGUAGACGAUGAAAGUAGACCAGAAAGGCGUCCGACGAAACACAUGCCAACACCAUCUGAAUGGACUAAUGAAUUCAAUCCUGCAUAUUCUUAUUAUGCUUAUUACUGCUACGCAAACUUGUACACUCUUUAUAAGCUUCGUGAGUCAAAAGGAAUGACUACAAUAAAAUUCCGGCCGCACUGUGGAGAGGCAGGUGAUGUUGACCAUUUGGCUGCGGGAUUUCUUGUAUGCCAUAAUAUCUCACAUGGUAUCAAUCUUCGGUACUCUCCAGUUCUGCAAUACCUAUAUUACCUGGGGCAGGUGGGACUGCUUAUGUCACCCUUGAGCAAUAAUUCUCUUUUCUUGGAUUACAAGAAAAACCCGUUCCCUGUGUUCUUUCAACGUGGGCUAAAUGUGUCACUUUCAAGUGAUGAUCCUUUGCUAAUUCAUUUGACAAAAGAAGCGCUGGUGGAAGAAUAUAGCGUUGCAGCACAGGUGUGGAAGCUCAGUGCUUGUGACCUCUGCGAGAUUGCUAGAAAUUCUGUAUAUCAUUCUGGAUUUUCACAUGCAGCAAAGACACAUUGGCUUGGUAGCAAGUAUUUCUUGAGAGGCCCUAAAGGAAAUGAUAUCCAAAAGACAAACGUUCCCAAUUUGAGGAUUGCCUUUCGAGAAACGUCAAGUGUUUAUGAGUUUUGCAGACGUGGAAGGAGGAGAUGCAGUAUAUCUAUCACUGAGAAGCGGAGUUUCCAGAAGAAGUUGAUCCAUGAAGCAAAGGGAAAUAUGCUGCUGUAUCAUGUUCUUCUAAAUACAAGUAUAGAUUGGAAGCUUUGGCGGCAGUUACAUAGGUCUAAGCUGAAGGAGCAUAUGAAAUAUUGUGUGGAUCACCCCGUGGUGAUCCGCAAACUUGCUAAAGUAAAAGCUGAAGUUUUGGGAUCAAUUUGGUAUCAUGUGUGUUGA